rnacentral:rRNA from 1 species
GACGAACGCUGGCGGCGCGCUUAACACAUGCAAGUCGAACGAAGCGGCGGACGGGUGAGUAACACGUGAGUAACCUGCCUUAGACAUUGGGAUAGCCUCGGGAAACCGGGAUUAAUACAAAAUGGUCUAAGAUGUACUCGCGUCCCAUUAGCUAGUUGGUGGGUAACGGCCCACCAAGGCGACGAUGGGUAGCCGGCAUGAGAGGGUGAACGGCGAAAUUGGAACUGAGAAACUGUCCAAACUCUACGGGAGGCAGCAGUGGGGAAUAUUGCACAAUGGAGGGAACUCUGAUGCAGCGACGCCGCGUGAACGAAGAAGGCUUUCGAGUCGUAAAGUUCUUUUAUAUGGGAAGCGGUACCUGAUGAAUAAGCACCGGCUAACUCCGUGCCAGCAGCCGCGGUAAGAC